rnacentral:rRNA from 1 species
GAUGAACGCUAGCGAUAGGCUUAACACAUGCAAGUCGAGGGGCAGCAUGGUCUUAGCUUGCUAAGGCUGAUGGCGACCGGCGCACGGGUGCGUAACGCGUAUGCAACUUGCCUCACAGAGGGGGAUAACCCGUCGAAAGACGGACCAAUACCGCGUACACUCUAUGUUGGGCAUCCAAUGUAGAUGAAAUGAUAUUCGCUGUGAGAUAGGCAUGCGUCCCAUUAGCUAGUUGGUGAGGUAACGGCUCACCAAGGCGACGAUGGGUAGGGGAACUGAGAGGGUGCGCCCCGAGAGUGGUACUGGGCAAAGGACCAGACUCAUACGGGAGACAGUCGUACGGGAUAUAGGUGUAUGGGCGAGAGCACAAUGGAGCCAAGUCGGAUGCAGGAUGGCUGUGUUAUGGAUUGUAGCCUUCUUUUAUAAGAGCAUAACCGGAGUCAAGGGUGGCUCAGUGAAUGUACCGUAUAAAUAAGCACCGGCUAACUACGUG